rnacentral:rRNA from 1 species
AAAUUAGGCUUGGUUUUCCAAAAAACAACUAUAAUUUUUUUAUGGCUUUUUUAAAAAAAAAGAAACAGAAAAUAAAAUUUACUUAAUAAUAAAAAAUUAUUGAGAUUUAUAGUUAAAUUUAGCUAAUU